AUUGAACGCUGGCGGCAUGCCUAACACAUGCAAGUCGAACGGCAGCAUGAAUAGGGGUAACCUUAUUUGAUGGCGAGUGGCGGACGGGUGAGUAAUAUGUAGGAAUCUACCUAGAGGAGGGGGAUAACUUGGGGAAACCCAAGCUAAUACCACAUAAGCCCUACGGGGGAAAGCAGGGGACCGCAAGGCCUUGCGCCUUAUGAUGAGCCUACAUCGGAUUAGGUAGUUGGUGGUGUAAAGGCCUACCAAGGCGACGAUCCGUAGCUGGUCAGAGAGGAGGAUCAGCCACACUGGGACUGAGACACGGCCCAGACCCCUACGGGAGGCAGCAGUGGGAAAUAUUGGACGAUGGGCGAAAGACUGAUCCAGCAAGGCCGCGUGUGUGAAGAAGGCCUUAGGGUUGUAAAGCACUUUCAGUAGGGAGGAAGGGUGUAACGCUAAUAUCGUUGCACAUUGACGUUACCUACAGAAGAAGCACCGGCUAACUCUGUGCCAGCAGCCGCCGUAA
rnacentral:rRNA from 1 species